rnacentral:misc_RNA from 1 species
UCCGGUUUGUCACCGGCAGUCUCCUAUGAGUCCCCAACUUAAUGAUGGCAACAUAGGACAGGGGUUGCGCUCGUUGCGGGACUUAAGCCAACACCUCACGGCACGAGCUGACGACAGCCAUGCAGCACCUGUGCUAGCCCCUUACGGACACGCGCUUUCACGCGCUUUAACUAGCAUGUCAAACCCAGGUAAGGUUCUUCGCGUUGCAUCGAAUUAAGCCACAUGCUCCGCCGCUUGUGCGGGCCCCCGUCAAUUCCUUUGAGUUUCAGUCUUGCGACCGUACUCCCCAGGCGGCGAACUUAACGCGUUAGCUUCGAUACUGAAGGCCUGAUUGCCCCCAACAUCCAGUUCGCAUCGUUUAGGGCGUGGACUAC